rnacentral:tRNA from 2 species
GUGGGUGUAGCUCAGCUGGCAGAGCACUUGGUUGUGGUCCAAGAAGUCGCGGGUUCAAGUCCCGUCACUCACCCCA